rnacentral:rRNA from 1 species
CAGAGGUCUCAAGCGUUGUUCGGAUUCAUUGGGCGUAAAGGGUGCGUAGGCGGCGCGGUAAGUCGGGUGUGAAAUCUCGGAGCUUAACUCCGAAACUGCAUUCGAUACUGCCGUGCUUGAGGACUGGAGAGGAGACUGGAAUUUACGGUGUAGCGGUGAAAUGCGUAGAUAUCGUAAGGAAGACCAGUGGCGAAGGCGGGUCUCUGGACAGUUCCUGACGCUGAGGCACGAAGGCCAGGGGAGCAAACGGGAUUAGAUACCCCGGUAGUCCUGGCAGUAAACAGUGCACGUUUGGUGUGGGAGGAUUCGACCCCUUCUGCGCCGGAGCUAACGCGUUAAACGUGCCGCCUGGGGAGUACGGUCGCAAGAUUA